rnacentral:rRNA from 1 species
AGAGUUUGAUCAUGGCUCAGGAUGAACGCUGGCGGCGUGCUUAACACAUGCAAGUCGAACGAUGAAGCCCAGCUUGCUGGGUGGAUUAGUGGCGAACGGGUGAGUAACACGUGAGUAACCUGCCCCCGACUCUGGGAUAAGCCUGGGAAACUGGGUCUAAUACCGGAUAUGACCUCCUACCGCAUGGUGGGUGGUGGAAAGAUUUAUCGGUGGGGGAUGGACUCGCGGCCUAUCAGCUUGUUGGUGAGGUAAUGGCUCACCAAGGCGACGACGGGUAGCCGGCCUGAGAGGGUGACCGGCCAUACUGGGACUGAGACACGGCCCAGACUCCUACGGGAGGCAGCAGUGGGGAAUAUUGCACAAUGGGCGAAAGCCUGAUGCAGCGACGCCGCGUGAGGGAUGACGGCCUUCGGGUUGUAAACCUCUUUCAGUAGGGAAGAAGCGAAAGUGACGGUACCUGCAGAAGAAGCGCCGGCUAACUACGUGCCAGCAGCCGCGGUAAUA